rnacentral:tRNA from 1 species
GCCCGCUUGGCUCAGUUGGAUAGAGCGCAGGUCUCAUAUCGAGUAUAUGACGUAACAUUUGUUAUGUAAUCCUGAGGUCGCAAGUUCGAGCCUUGCAGCGGGCA